AGAGUUUGAUCAUGGCUCAGAACGUACGCUGGCGGCACGCCUAACACAUGCAAGUCGAACGAAGUAGCAAUACUUAGUGGCAGACGGGUGAGUAACAUGUAGGUAUCUGCCCUUUGGCCUGGAAUAACACGAGGAAACUUGUGCUAAUACCGGAUAAGUCUUUACGGAGAAAGCUUUAUGCACCAUUGGAUGAGCCUGCACUUGAUUAGUUUGUUGGUGGGGUAAUGGCCUACCAAGACUGUGAUCAAUAGCUGAUUUGAGAGGAUGAUCAGCCACAUUGGGACUGAGACACGGCCCAAACUCCUACGGGAGGCAGCAGUGGGGAAUCUUGCACAAUGGAGGAAACUCUGAUGCAGCGAUGCCGCGUGAGUGAAGAAGGCCUUUGGGUUGUAAAGCUCUUUCGUCGGGGAAGAAAAUGACUGUACCCGAAUAAGAAGGUCCGGCUAACUUCGUGCCAGCAGCCGCGGUAAUACGAAGGGACCUAGCGUAGUUCGGAAUUACUGGGCUUAAAGAGUUCGUAGGUGGUUGAAAAAGUUGGUGGUGAAAUCCCAGAGCUUAACUCUGGAACUGCCAUCAAAACUUUUCAGCUAGAGUAUGAUAGAGGAAAGCAGAAUUUCUAGUGUAGAGGUGAAAUUCGUAGAUAUUAGAAAGAAUACCAAUUGCGAAGGCAGCUUUCUGGAUCAUUACUGACACUGAGGAACGAAAGCAUGGGUAGCGAAGAGGAUUAGAUACCCUCGUAGUCCAUGCCGUAAACGAUGUGUGUUAGACGUUGGAAAUUUAUUUUCAGUGUCGCAGCGAAAGCGAUAAACACACCGCCUGGGGAGUACGACCGCAAGGUUAAAACUCAAAUGAAUUGACGGGGACCCGCACAAGUAGUGGAGCAUGUGGUUUAAUUCGAAGAUACGCGCAGAACCUUACCAACACUUGACAUGUUCGUCGCGACUCUAAGAGAUUAGAGUUUUCGGUUCGGCCGGACGAAACACAGGUGCUGCAUGGCUGUCGUCAGCUCGUGUCGUGAGAUGUUGGGUUAAGUCCCGCAACGAGCGCAACCCUCACUUUUAGUUGCCAUCAUUAAGUUGGGCACUCUGAAAGAACUGCCAGUGAUAAGCUGGAGGAAGGUGGGGAUGACGUCAAGUCCUCAUGGCCCUUACGUGUUGGGCUACACACGUGCUACAAUGGUAUCUACAACAGGAAGCAAGACUGCGAAGUUUAGCAAAUCCUUAAAAGAUACCUCAGUUCGGAUUGCACUCUGCAACUCGAGUGCAUGAAGCUGGAAUUACUAGUAAUCGUGGAUCAGCGUGCCACGGUGAAUGCGUUCCCGGGUCUUGUACACACCGCCCGUCACACCAUGGGAGUUGGUUCUACCUUAAGGCAAGGUUUAAAACCCUUGACCACGGUAUAGUCAGCGACUGGGGUGAAGUCGUAACAAGGUAACCGUA
rnacentral:rRNA from 1 species